rnacentral:rRNA from 1 species
UACGUAGGUCCCGAGCGUUGUCCGGAUUUAUUGGGUUUAAAGGGUGCGUAGGCGGUCCGUUAAGUCAGCGGUAAAAUUGCGGGGCUCAACCCCGUCGAGCCGUUGAAACUGUCAGACUUGAGUUGGCGAGAAGUACGCGGAAUGCGCGGUGUAGCGGUGAAAUGCAUAGAUAUCGCGCAGAACUCCGAUUGCGAAGGCAGCGUACCGGCGCCACACUGACGCUGAGGCACGAAAGCGUGGGGAUCGAACAGG